GAUGCUCUCAAGGCCUCAAUCAUCUUCUCCAGCCCUACAUUUUUGGAGGAUAAAUCACUAAUUCCUGUCAACCUCUGGAUGAACAAUGCUCAAGCUAGAUCAAGCACUCACUAUGAUCCACACCAUAGCCUUCUCUGCUUAGUUUCUUGCUGUAAACAAGUGGUUUUAUGGCCUCCUUCAGCAGCUCUGGUGUUAUACCCUAUGCCAAUAUAUGGGGAGGCAUCAAAUCAUAGGUACGGUACUUUCAGCAGAGUAUGAAUGCAGAUCAAAUCUCUUUUCUUUUCUCUACCUACUUGAAAGUUUAUGCUUCUAGUCUAUUUUCUAUCUUUUCUUUUUCUACUUACUUUAUGUGCAGUCUUCCAAUAGUUGAAUUGU